GAUGAACGCUGGCGGCGUGCCUAAUACAUGCAAGUCGAGCGAACGGACGAGAAGCUUGCUUCUCUGAUGUUAGCGGCGGACGGGUGAGUAACACGUGGAUAACCUACCUAUAAGACUGGGAUAACUUCGGGAAACCGUAGCUAAUACCGGAUAAUAUUUUGAACCGCAUGGUUCAAAAGUGAAAGACGGUCUUGCUGUCACUUAUAGAUGGAUCCGCGCUGCAUUAGCUAGUUGGUAAGGUAACGGCUUACCAAGGCAACGAUGCAUAGCCGACCUGAGAGGGGGAUAGGCCACACUGGAACUGAGACACGGUCCAGACUCCUAAGGGAGGCAGCAGUAGGGAAUCUUCCGCAAUGGGCGAAAGCCUGACGGAGCAACGCCGCGUGAGUGAUGAAGGUCUUCGGAUCGUAAAACUCUGUUAUUAGGGAAGAACAUAUGUGUAAGUAACUGUGCACAUCUUGACGGUACCUAAUCAGAAAGCCACGGCUAACUACGUG
rnacentral:rRNA from 1 species